GACGAACGCUGGCGGCGUGCUUAACACAUGCAAGUCGAACGGAAAGGCCCUGCUUUUGUGGGGUGCUCGAGUGGCGAACGGGUGAGUAACACGUGAGUAACCUGCCCUUGACUUUGGGAUAACUUCAGGAAACUGGGGCUAAUACCGGAUAGGAGCUCCUGCUGCAUGGUGGGGGUUGGUAAGUUUCGGCGGUUGGGGAUGGACUCGCGGCGUAUCAGCUUGUUGGUGGGGUAGUGGCUUACCAAGGCUUUGACGGGUAGCCGGGCUGAGAGGGUGACCUGACACGUCGGGACUGAGAUGCGGCACAGACUACUACGGGAGGCAGCGGAGGAGAAGAUUGCACAAGGGGCGGGAGCCUGAUGCAGCAACGCCGCGUGCGGGAUGACGGCCUUCGGGUUGUAAACCGCUGUCGCCUGUGACGAAGCGUGAGUGACGGUAAUGGGUAAAGAAGCACCGGCUAACUACGUG
rnacentral:rRNA from 1 species